rnacentral:tRNA from 1 species
GGGACAGUGUCUUAGUGGUAGAGUGCUUGCCUUGCAUGCAUGAGGCCCUGGGUUCGAUUCCUCAGCACCA